rnacentral:tRNA from 1 species
AAUAAAAUGCCUGAUAAAAGGAUUAUCUUGAUAGGAUAAAUAAUGUACUAACAGUGCUUUUAUUA